rnacentral:rRNA from 1 species
GACGAACGCUGGCGGCGUGCUUAACACAUGCAAGUCGAGCGGUAAGGCCCUUUCGGGGGUACACGAGCGGCGAACGGGUGAGUAACACGUGGGUGACCUGCCCUCAGCUCUGGGAUAAGCCUGGGAAACCGGGUCUAAUACUGGAUAUGACUCCAUGACGCAUGUUGUGGGGUGGAAAGCCUUGUGCGGCUGAGGAUGGGCCCGCGGCCUAUCAGCUUGUUGGUGGGGUGAUGGCCUACCAAGGCGACGACGGGUAGCCGGCCUGAGAGGGCGACCGGCCACACUGGGACUGAGACACGGCCCAGACUCCUACGGGAGGCAGCAGUGGGGAAUCUUGCGCAAUGGGCGAAAGCCUGACGCAGCGACGCCGCGUGAGGGAUGACGGCCUCGGUGUAACGUACUU